UCUGUCUCUCUAACAAAAAAAAAAUUAUCUUACACUGUUUUUAUUACUAAUUAUACAGGUCAAAGUGCAGUUGACUUCCUGUUCGACAUUGUAGAACUUUCUGAUGGGCCUCAUCCGAGCUACGCUGUAUUAAACAGCAGGCCGAAAGCUAACAGUAAUGUCACAUUGCUGGUCUCCAUGCUUGGCGGGGAGAUGGUGAGGCCAACAGAGGUAACUCUGGUUGACGCCUCAACUUCUGAAUCUUUUAAUGGGACUCUGGAGGAGGUUGCUAUUGAAGUUUACCUCGCGACAAUUGCGAAUGUUCCAGCAGGAGAGUUUCUUGUUUGUGUGAGCGGAGAAAGCAGCUCUUCUAGAGAUCCAGUCCAUUUUUUUCAAAGACAGUUUUUAACUCAUCUCCGAACAUCAAAUGUGUCAAUCACUGUUCAAAGUGACGCUGGAACACUGGAACCAGGAAGAUCAUUAACUCUACCCUUCACAGUGUCGACCAGCGGAUCUGGAGGAGUUUUUAAUAUCAGCGUCAGUAAUGACAGAAGUUUCCAAAUGACUGAUGUUCCAUCAACCCUGACUCUGGAGACUGGGGGCAGUGUGAAUGGUACAGUAACUCUGACUGCACCUGGAAACACCCCCUCAGGAACUGACGUCACGCUGACUAUCGAAGCUGAAGCACCAGGAGAAACAGAUUUCAACUACGCAGUGCUGAGGAUUUCUGUAGUCACUCCGGUAACAGACAUUACUCCUCCAGUGUGUGAGAUAGUUAGCGUUAAUGCUAACUGCUCAGGGAACUGCAGCCUCUCGUGGUGGGAUUUCUCCGCUAACAUCACUGACAGAAACGGUUCAGGUAUUCAGCGCGUGGAGGUGAGCCAAGGUCUCGG
rnacentral:lncRNA from 1 species